UAGGGAAUCUUCCACAAUGGACGCAAGUCUGAUGGAGCAACGCCACGUGAGUGAAGAAGGUCUUCGGAUCGUAAAACUCUGUUGUUAGAGAAGAACACGAGUGAGAGUAACUGUUCAUUCGAUGACGGUAUCUAACCAGCAAGUCACGGCUAACUACGUGCCAA
rnacentral:rRNA from 1 species